UACGUAGGGAGCAAGCGUUGUCCGGAAUCAUUGGGCGUAAAGCGCGCGUAGGUGGUCCCGUAAGUCCGCUGUGAAAGUCAAAGGCUCAACCUUUGAAAGCCGGUGGAUACUGUGGGACUAGAGUACGGAAGAGGCGAGUGGAAUUCCUGGUGUAGCGGUGGAAUGCGCAGAUAUCAGGAAGAACACCGACGGCGAAGGCAGCUCGCUGGGACGGUACUGACGCUGAGGCGCGAAAGCGUGGGGAGCGAACAGG
rnacentral:rRNA from 1 species